CACGUAGGGCGCAAGCGUUGUCCGGAAUUAUUGGGCGUAAAGAGCUCGUAGGCGGUCUGUUGCGUCUGCUGUGAAAACCCGGGGCUUAACCCCUGGCUUGCAGUGGAUACGGACAGACUAGAGGUAGGUAGGGGAGAAUGGAAUUCCCGGUGUAGCGGUGAAAUGCGCAGAUAUCAAGCGGAACACCGGUGGCGAAGGCGGCCUUCUGGACGAUGACUGACGCUGAGACGCGAAAGCGUGGGGAGCAAACAGG
rnacentral:rRNA from 1 species